GCAGGGCUCCGGGCGGCCGUGACCCUGCAGGAGUCCGGGGGGGACCUCCAGCCCCCCGGGGGGUCCCUGACCUUGCUGUGCCGCGUCUCCGGGUUCGAUGUCGGCGGUUUCCUCAUGUUCUGGAUCCGCCAGAGCCCCGGGCAGGGGCUGGAAUACGUCGGGAGCAUCAGGAAGGAAGGCUGGAGCUGGUACGCGCCGUCGGUGCAGGGCCGGGUCAGGAUCUCCAGGGACGACGGGCAGAGCUCGGUGACGCUGACCAUGACCGACCUCCGGGACGAGGAUUCCGCCGUCUAUUUCUGUGGGAAAUCUGCCUACAGUAGUUGGGGUGCUGCUGCUGUUCGUUUUGACCCCAUCCCUGUCCCUGUAUCCUGGAGUCUCCAUGUCCCAGACCCUUCCCCAAACCCCAGCCCCUGACCCCAUUCCUGUCCC